ACUCUCAAUUGUUUUUGCUUGCAUAAAUGAUUUUUGGAUUCGGAGCGAGUGGCGAACUGGUGAGUAACACGUGGGUAACCUGCCCCGAAGCGGGGGAUAACAUUUGGAAACAAGUGCUAAUACCGCAUAAUUAGUUGGAACCGCAUGGUUCCAACUUGAAAGAUGGCUCUGCUAUCACUUUGGGAUGGACCCGCGCCGUAUUAGUUAGUUGGUGAGAUAAAAGCCCACCAAGACGAUGAUACGUAGCCGACCUGAGAGGGUAAUCGGCCACAUUGGGACUGAGACACGGCCCAGACUCCUACGGGAGGCAGCAGUAGGGAAUCUUCCACAAUGGACGAAAGUCUGAUGGAGCAACGCCGCGUGAGUGAUGAAGGUUUUCGGAUCGUAAAACUCUGUUGUUAAAGAAGAACAAGUGUUAGAGUAACUGUUAACACUUUGACGGUAUUUAACCAGAAAGCCACGGCUAACUACGUGCCAGCAGCCGCGGUAAUACGUAGGUGGCAAGCGUUGUCCGGAUUUAUUGGGCGUAAAGCGAGCGCAGGCGGUUUUGUAAGUCUGCUGUGAAAGCCCUCAGCUCAACUGAGGAAGUGCAGUGGAAACUACAAAACUUGAGUACAGAAGAGGAAAGUGGAACUCCAUGUGUAGCGGUGAAAUGCGUAGAUAUAUGGAAGAACACCAGUGGCGAAGGCGGCUUUCUGGUCUGUUACUGACGCUGAGGCUCGAAAGCAUGGGUAGCGAACAGGAUUAGAUACCCUGGUAGUCCAUGCCGUAAACGAUGAAUACUAGGUGUUGGAGGGUUUCCGCCCUUCAGUGCCGCAGCUAACGCAUUAAGUAUUCCGCCUGGGGAGUACGACCGCAAGGUUGAAACUCAAAGGAAUUGACGGGGGCCCGCACAAGUGGUGGAGCAUGUGGUUUAAUUCGAUGCUACGCGAAGAACCUUACCAGCUCUUGACAUCUUCUGCCAACCCAAGAGAUUGGGCGUUCCCUUCGGGGACAGAUGACAGGUGGUGCAUGGUUGUCGUCAGCUCGUGUCGUGAGAUGUUGGGUUAAGUCCGCAACGAGCGCACCCUUAUUAUUAGUUGCCAGCAUUUAAUUGGGCACUCUAAUGAGAA
rnacentral:rRNA from 1 species